CCCUAUGGGGUGCAGCAGGAACGUCCAGCAGGGAAGACGUGAUCUUGCCGGAGGGGAUGAGACCUACGACGGACGGUUCAGACAUGGAGGAUGGCCGCUCUCUCGGUGGCGAUCAUGAAGGUGGUGCCGUGCAACAUUAGAGCGUUCCCGUGCGGCACCUUCGAAGGGUGGCAGCGAUGAAUCAGUUCUUUCCUUCCGGCUCCAGCCCGUAUUCCUUGAGCUUCUUGUGCAGGGUGGAGCGGUGAAUGGCCAGGACCUGCGUGGCCUUGGAAAUAUUUCCUCCCUGCGCCUUCAACACGCGCUGAAUAUGAUCCCGGAUGACCUGCUCGAGAGC
rnacentral:rRNA from 1 species